CCUACGGGUGGCAGCAGUGAGGAAUAUUGGUCAAUGGGCGCAAGUCUGAACCAGCCAAGUAGCGUGAAGGAUGACGGCCCUACGGGUUGUAAACUGCUUUUAUAAAGGAAUAAAGUGAGGCACGUGUGCCUCUUUUUAUGUACUUUAUGAAUAAGGAUCGGCUAACUCCGUGCCAGCAGCCGCGGUAAUACGGAGGAUCCGCGCGUUAUCCGGAUUUAUUGGGUUUAAAGGGGGCGUAGAUGGGUUGUUAAGUCAGUUGUGAAAGUUUGCGGCUCAACCGUAAAAUUGCAGUUGAUACUGGCAGCCUUGAGUACAGGUGAGGUAGGCGGAAUUCGUGGUGUAGCGGUGAAAUGCUUAGAUAUCACGAAGAACUCCGAUUGCGAAGGCAGCUUACUAAACUGCAACUGACGUUGAUGCUCGAAAGUGUGGGUAUCAAACAGGAUUAGAUACCCGUGUAGUC
rnacentral:rRNA from 1 species